UUUCUUUCCACGUGGACGUGCUGCGCGCAACCACAGGAUUCCUCGCGGAAGUGACGGCAAGGCGGCGAUGGCGGCUCGCAGUUUCAUUCCGGAUUUCCACUGGACUACAAACUGAUUUUAACCGGACCGGUUAGACUUUGUGGAACUUUUGUUAAGCCGUCUCAUUUCGGACGCCAAACAGAGUGAAGUUGCGUUGAACCGGUGCUUAACAACAAGCGGCCCACAGCUUUUUUGGGGUAUUUUUGUCCAAGGUUCAAGGUGGUCACCCUGUCGAGCUAGCGGUAGCUUGGCGGCUACAAGCUAACGUUAAAUGGUAUACAGCUAGCUCGUCAGCUACUUGUCGACGAGCUACGCGCUAAUGUCCACACAGCAGCAGUCGUUUUGCAGCAGCUUUUCUUUUGACGACGUCCACGUUUGUUUCACAGUUACAAUGUGAAUGUACUCUAUUUAAUGCUAUUUGUGCCACAAGUGUGCAGAGCGAGGUACUCACACGUUUGCUUGGCCUCUUGUUCAUUUGAAUUGCUAGUUUGGCGGCUUUGGCUAAAGACGGAUUUUGACUAUUACUAGCAAGCAAGUUCCUUCAGUAAUUAUCCCAACAACUUCUGACAAAAGUGUGCUAUCAACUGAUAAUUGAAGUUGAGUUACUGUGGGGUCUUUGCGUGCUCGUCAACAUGCUGAAGACCAGGCAAUGUUUACUUGGCAUCCGGACUUUUCUCGGAGUAACAUCGAGAAUAUGGGGCUUCAUUAUGUACAUCCUCAGGAAGCACCUACGAACGAUAAUCCAGUAUCAGACGGUGCGAUACGAUACUUUGCCUCUUUCACCUAUCUCCAGAAACAGACUCAAUGCCGUAAAGAGGAAGAUUCUGGUUUUGGACCUGGAUGAGACGCUGAUCCACUCUCACCAUGACGGGGUCCUCAGACCCACAGUGAGACCUGGCACACCGCCAGACUUCAUCCUCAAAGUUGUCAUUGACAAGCACCCAGUCAGAUUCUUCGUACAUAAAAGGCCACAUGUUGACUUCUUUUUAGAAGUGGUGAGCCAGUGGUAUGAGCUGGUGGUUUUUACUGCCAGUAUGGAGAUCUAUGGAUCAGCUGUGGCAGACAAGCUUGACAACAACAGGAACAUCCUAAAACGCAGAUACUACAGACAGCAUUGUACAUUGGAUUUAGGUAGUUAUAUUAAAGACCUAUCUGUAGUACACGAUGACUUGUCCAGUAUUGUCAUCCUGGACAAUUCGCCUGGUGCUUAUCGUAGCCAUCCAGACAAUGCAAUACCCAUCAAGUCCUGGUUCAGCGACCCUAGUGACACAGCACUUCUUAACUUGCUGCCUAUGCUGGAUGCACUAAGACAAUCUCGUCAUAGGACCCAGCAUACUAGCAGCAUGGCUAAAUGCUAGCACCAUGGGGAACACAAUGGAAACACAAACGGUCGACACACCCACACCGCCGCACAACCCUGCGGCUAACCGCCGCAACGCCGGAUCCUAUGUGAAUGCCGGCUAAAGAGGCCCCAUCUACACUACCCUACAAUGUUCACUGCUGAUGUCCGCUCCGUCCUCAGUCGAAACCUCCACCAGCACCGACUUUGGUGAUUGGCUGAAUCAAGAGGGGUGGGGCUUGUUGACCAGUCUUUUCCUCUCUAUCGGCUUCCAUCCUGCCCUCCGUUCCCACACAGACGACCCACCAGCCCUCUCUGAGCCUCUCAGACGUGUCCUGAGGAGAUGAGGGUUGGGGUGACUGCCUAACAUGGGAUGAACAGUACGGGAUCACCAGAGCCCAGAAACUACUGAGGAGGGUGGGGGGGGAGGGCAAACAGCUUUUUUCUUCUUGAUUCUUUAUUUGUAAUUUUUUUUUCUUCUCAAAACAAAAUGGAGCCUCUCUGCCUUAUUGCUCCUGAUACUGACUGUGUGCAUACGGUGGUAAGUCUGUGUACGUUGAGUCAGAGUAUGCUUGCUGAGUUCGUUAGUCCUUUUGAAACUGGGGGCGGGGGACAGCAAAGCAACAAGGACAGUUCUACAAUAUUGUUUCUUCUUCUCCAUCAUCCUCGGACAUUGCACUUAAGCAGACAACUCAUCGAUUUACUGUCUUAACCUCUCUCCGAGGUACUGAGUGGGGGAAUAGAAAACCGACCCUUUUUAGAUCAGACUCAAACCCCUCAACCGUAAUUCAUUAAUUCCUGAGGUACGUUAAUUUUCCCUAAACAAGAAUGGAUCAAUUUAAAUGGUGUUAUUGAUGGACUUUUGCUUGCAACAUACCAUGGCACAGGCAUUUUUCUGGACAAAUAGCCGAGCAGCCUGACAUAAGUUUUUUUUUUUUUUUUUCUCCUCUCUCCCCAGCCGUAACCAUCACUCUUUCCCCAAAGCUCCUCUUGGGACUCAGUGAUAAAGACUUGACUGAAAAGAUGUGAGAGAAAAAAAAGAAUGGCUUGUAACGACAUGUGGACUGCCGUGGCGCCUCUCCAUAUCUGAUUAUUUCUCUAUUAUAAUAUGUGAUAAUAUGACUUCUGCAUUUCGCUCUGCCCCUUUGCCACCUGAUGCCAUCCUGAUUUCAUCUAAUAGGAAUUGCACUUAAUUUUUUCCUUCCGUUUUUGUUGCAGUUGGUUUUGUUUUUGAUUCAAAUUUGCAGCCUUCCUCUUUAAGUUUUUUUCCUGCUCCGCUUCUGUAUGGGUUCUAGUGACCCUCCGUCUUUACAUGCCUUCUGAACAAUGUCUGUCUUGUCAAGGCUCACACCGGUUUCUUAUUGGCUCUGUCUCCAGGUCUGUGUUACUAAUAAAACACCUGUCAGUAUCGACCAGUUA